rnacentral:rRNA from 1 species
GACGAACGCUGGCGGCGUGCUUAACACAUGCAAGUCGAACGGAAAGGCCCUGCUUUUGUGGGGUGCUCGAGUGGCGAACGGGUGAGUAACACGUGAGUAACCUGCCCUUGACUUUGGGAUAACUUCAGGAAACUGGGGCUAAUACCGGAUAGGAGCUCCUGCUGCAUGGUGGGGGUUGGAAAGUUUCGGCGGUUGGGGAUGGACUCGCGGCUUAUCAGCUUGUUGGUGGGGUAGUGGCUUACCAAGGCUUUGACGGGUAGCCGGCCUGAGAGGGUGACCGGCCACAUUGGGACUGAGAUACGGCCCAGACUCCUACGGGAGGCAGCAGUGGGGAGUAUUGCACAAUGGGCGGAAGCCUGAUGCAGCAACGCCGCGUGCGGGAUGACGGCCUUCGGGUUGUAAACCGCUUUCGACUGUGACGAAGCGUGAGUGACGGUAAUGGGUAAAGAAGCACCGGCUAACUACGUG